UGGGGAAUUUUGGACAAUGGGCGCAAGCCUGAUCCAGCCAUGCCGCGUGCGGGAAGAAGGCCUUCGGGUUGUAAACCGCUUUUGUCAGGGAAGAAAUCUUCUGAGUUAAUACCUCGGGAGGGUGACGGUACCUGAAGAAUAAGCACCGGCUAACUACGUGCCAGCAGCCGCGGUAAUACGUAGGGUGCAAGCGUUAAUCGGAAUUACUGGGCGUAAAGCGUGCGCAGGCGGUUUUGUAAGACAGAGGUGAAAUCCCCGGGCUCAACCUGGGAACUGCCUUUGUGACUGCAAGGCUUGAGUGCGGCAGAGGGGGAUGGAAUUCCGCGUGUAGCAGUGAAAUGCGUAGAUAUGCGGAGGAACACCGAUGGCGAAGGCAAUCCCCUGGGCCUGCACUGACGCUCAUGCACGAAAGCGUGGGGAGCAAACAGGAUUAGAUACCCUGGUAGUCCACGCCCUAAACGAUGUCAACUGGUUGUUGGGAAGGUUCCUUCUCAGUAACGUAGCUAACGCGUGAAGUUGACCGCCUGGGGAGUACGGCCGCAA
rnacentral:rRNA from 1 species